CGAUUCGAAGUACUUUUUUUGUAUAUCCUUGAUAAACCAAAAUGAAGUUCAUUAUUCCUACCAUCUAUACAAUUAGCCAAGUGUGCAUCAUUUGAAUACUGAUCAUGAAUUAAAUCAUUACAACAUAACCCGAACUACAGUGCGGAAGAAAGACGGAAAAUAAUCUUGAAUCUAGAAUUCCUUCAAUGAUUCUUGAAUGAUUACUUUGAAUCCUCCUCUUCUACUUCAAUGCAAGCAAAGAUGUACAAAUUUAUGUAUGGAAUAGGUGUUUCGAAUAUCUAAUUAUGUAUCUAAAGUUUGCAAGAAAUAUGUAAUUAUGUAAUCAAAGCUUCUAUAAAGUUUGUAAGAAAUAUGUAAUUAUGUAUCUAAAGCUCCCUCUUUUGCUUUCCUUUUUGUACGGAUGGUUUAUUUGUUACCUAAGAACCUCUCUAAGCUUCCUGCUUGAAUGAUAGAUGAAAGGUUGUACUUAUAGCCCCAAGAAUUAGGGAACAAAAUCUCUCGUGGCCGAGAAACUCAUGCCAUCACAUGGAAGAAUCGAGUGUGUUCGCAUGGCUAUGUCAUUUCCCCUGCUGAUGGAUUACCUACUUCUCAUGCGAUUGCACAUAUAUACCAUGUGAUAGCAAAGGUCAGCUUGUUUGAUUCCUGUUCUAGUUGGUUCCUAAAGUUCUUCUUUAGUCUAGCUCGAGCCCAUUCCUUUUUGCAUCUCUAUCCUUCAUCUUCCAAUUUUGAUAUUCUGAUCCUCCUCGUUUCACAAUCAUUUGUAAUUAAUCCGAUGCAAGAUUCAAAAGUUUGCAAUUGAGUUUCCAAGCUCUUCAAAUGAUAGAUUUGACUCCAAAAACUUUUGAAUCUCCUCUAAUUGCUCCAUUACUGCUUCAUAAUGAUCAAAUGCAAUUUUGUUGACCUUCAAUUACUCUAAAUCAACUCCAAUUAAACUCCAAAUGCAUCCAAUCCGAGGAUUUUC
rnacentral:lncRNA from 1 species